AGUGAAGACGUCAGUGUUGUGUUUACAUGUGUGGAUGUGAGUGUCUGUAAGCGCAGCUUUCUAUUUCAUUUAGGUGAUAUUAAGUUUAUAUCUGUAUUUAUUUACUCCUACACUAUAUUGUUGAGAUGAUUUCUUAUAGAAGGAAUAGUACAGACAAAUGAUAUAAUUUGUCAUCGUCGAUAUCAGAAUACUGGAUAGCCUACUCGUGGUAAGUCAGAUUUAUUUAUUUAUUUUUUAUUAAUUAAUACUAAACUAAUACUAUUUAUAAUACAGUACUUGCUUUUUCAGGUGGAGAGGCAUAUUAGAGCUCAGUGAGAGCCCAUAACAUUAUACAGCAGUGUCGUCUUGAUUUAAUUGGGAGUUGAGCAACUUUUCCAUAAACAAAAUUCUGAUGCUGACAGAGGAUGGAGUGAUAAUACCAGAGAUAAACUGUCUCCAUCAGACAAUAAUGUUACUUUGUUCAGACAUAUCACCUUUGAAUGACUGGGAUCCUGAUCUUCAGACACCUGAUGUAUUUUAUUUUAAUAUUAUAAAAUAGCAAAUAUUUUAAUUUCUUUGGAGCUCUAGAUUAAAACAAACACAGU